GCGCAAGUGGCGAAAUUGGCAGACGCGCUAGCUUCAGGAGCUAGUGGGAGUUAAAUCCCAUGCAGGUUCAAGUCCUGUCUUGCGCA
rnacentral:tRNA from 1 species